CAUCGAUCCCUCUCUCAUUCGCAUCUCUCACCACGCGACCGAAGAUCCCUCGCCGCCGCACUCCACCGCUCCCACCGCUCUCCUUCACCACCACCGUUGCCGCCUAGUGUCUAUUCUUAUCUCUUUAUUGCUAAUUUUAUAUUUGCUCAUUCUCUCUCUUAAUUUCUCAUCUCUCUCUCUCUCUUUCUUACAGAUGUCGCCGCGUUCCACCACCUCCACCACCGCUAGAACACCUUUGACGGUGAAGUCUCUCAUUCGCCGUCGCCGUCCCUUACUCGAUUUCAGUUGAACACAUGAUAAUCAGAGUGACAGGUGAUAGGUCAGGUAUUGGAGCAACACUUCUUGCUGCAUCCCAUUCAGCUUCGUUCUGCUAUCACUGAUAGCAUACAAUCACUUUAGGAAUUUGGAUGAGAAUCUGCACAAAGCCUUCAACAAGUAUCUUGAAAAGACAUGUUCUUCUCAACGGUGAAGAGGCUUCGCGUGCUGAAAAGCUCAGAACUGCCUACGUUGUCUCGUGGACGCAAACAAGGGAAGCUCUCCAUGAACGUCUAAGUGUAGCUAUUGUGACUGUGAAUAUGGCUUUUUUGUGUUUAGUGUCGACUUUUCGAGCAAUGGUAUUAGUUUUUAUUGUGUUUUUUUUAUGGAUUCUAAUGUAUAUUUUGAAGACCAUAUAACUGAAUCUUGUUUAAGUUGUUGAAACAUUUGGCCUUUUCUGGAUUUCGUAGUGAAGGUGAAACUCUAA